rfam:Tribolium castaneum strain Georgia GA2 linkage group LG2, whole genome shotgun sequence.
GGCCAUGAUAUUGUCCUGUCACAGCAGUACUGGUUCCGAGUUACUGCUGCUUCGGGACAUGACCAUGGCC